rnacentral:lncRNA from 1 species
CGCCGCCUCCCUUUUUCGGCCGACAGGAAAUUCCCACUUUGACCACUGUCUUUGGCGAAUACCAGGACGAGCCCUCAAGCGCGACGGCAUGUCUUGUUGCUUUGUAAAGGGGCGCAACGGACGUUUGUACGGACGCAGAGAUUUGGCUCACUUUCCCUCGCGCCCAAACCAACUGCGGACCGCGCGCACACACAAGACAACGGCGGCCCCUUUUUCUUUUGCUCAGAACCCAGGCGCGACAACUUUUCGUCGGGUAUGGCACCGCCGCGUGUGCUAAAAAAAAGGUAGAAAAAUGUCGAUUCCAAGGAUGAUGUUCCC